GCGGGCGAAGUGUUGUGGCUGCACCCGAGCCUUCCAAGCUCGUAGGGCGGGUUCGAUUCCCGUCGCCCGCU
rnacentral:tRNA from 1 species